CAGACUACACAUCCCAGACUACACACCCCAGACUACACAUCCCAGCUCACAUCCCAGACUACACAUCCCAGACUACACAUCCCAGACUACACAUCCCAGCUCACAUCUCACACUACACAUCCCAGACUACACAUCCCAGACUACACAUCCCAGCUCACAUCCCAGACUACACAUCCCAGCUCACAUCCCAGACUACACAUCCCAGACUACACAUCCC
rnacentral:lncRNA from 1 species